rnacentral:rRNA from 1 species
GAUGAACGCUGGCGGCGUGCCUAAUACAUGCCAGUCGAGCGAACAGACGAGGAGCUUUCUCCUCUGACGUUAGCGGCGGACGGACGAGUAACACGUGGAUCACCUACCUAUAUGACUGGGAUAACUUCGGGAAACCGGAUCUACUACCGGAUAAUACAUUGAACCGCAUGGUUCAAUAGUGCUAGACGCUUUUGCUGUCACUUAUAGAUGGAUCCGCGCCGCAUUAGCUAGUUGGUAAGGUAACGGCUUACCAAGGCGACGAUGCGUAGCCGACCUGAGAGGAUGAUCGGCCACACUGGAACUGAGACACGGUCCAGACUCCUACGGGAGGCAGCAGUGGGGAAUAUUCCGCAAUGGGCGAAAGCCUGACGGAGCAAUGCCGCGUGAGUGAUGAAGGUCUUCGGGUCGUAAAGCUCUGUUAUUGGGAAAGAAAAAAAGUGGAUGAAAAUAUGCACGUCUUGACGGUACCUAAAGAGAAAGCAACGGCUAACUUCGUG